AGCGAACGCUGGCGGCAGGCUUAACACAUGCAAGUCGAGCGGGCACUUCGGUGUCAGCGGCAGACGGGUGAGUAACACGUGGGAACGUACCCUUUGGUUCGGAAUAACGCUGGGAAACUAGCGCUAAUACCGGAUACGCCCUUUUGGGGAAAGGCUUGCUGCCGAAGGAUCGGCCCGCGUCUGAUUAGCUAGUUGGUGGGGUAAUGGCCUACCAAGGCGACGAUCAGUAGCUGGGCUGAGAGGAUGAUCAGCCACACUGGGACUGAGACACGGCCCAGACUCCUACGGGAGGCAGCAGUGGGGAAUAUUGGACAAUGGGCGCAAGCCUGAUCCAGCCAGGCCGCGUGAGUGAUGAAGGCCUUAGGGUUGUAAAGCUCUUUUGUCCGGGACGAUAAUGACGGUACCGGAAGAAUAAGCCCCGGCUAACUUCGUG
rnacentral:rRNA from 1 species